GAUUAACGCUGGCGGCGUGCCUAGUACAUGCAAGUCGACCGGGGAAAGUAGCAAUACGAGUACUAGUGGCGCACGGGUGAGGAAUACAUGGGUAAUCUGCCCUCGAGUUUGGGAUAACCAGUCGAAAGAUUGGCUAAUACCGGAUAUGACCACAGGAUCUGCGGAUCUAGGGGUAAAAGGUUUUUCGCUCGAGGAUGAGCCCAUGUGGGAUUAGCUAGUUGGUGAGGUAACGGCUCACCAAGGCGACGAUCCCUAACUGGUCUUAAAGGAUGAUCAGUCACACUGGAACUGAGACACGGUCCAGACUCCUACGGGAGGCAGCAGUAGGGAAUAUUGCACAAUGGAGGAAACUCUGAUGCAGCGACGCCGCGUGAGUGAUGAAGGCCUUCGGGUCGUAAAGCUCUGUCGUAUGGGACUAACACAAUGAAGGUACCAUGCAAGAAAGGAUCGGCUAACUUCGUGCCAGCAGCCGCGGUAA
rnacentral:rRNA from 1 species